AGCAGUCAGCAGCAGGUUGCAGCAGGUUGCAGCAAAACGUUUCUUUCUACUGACUGGACUGGAGUUGACAAAAAUCCACCAGACUUCUAGAAGUUCAAUUUGGAUUGAGACAGGGAAAUAAUCUAAACCUCACGCGUGGCCCCGCCCUCUUCUCCCAGCUGACUGAACACCUGACCAAUGAGCUCGCAAAGGCCCCGCCCGUUUCCAUGGCGAGGACGUACAUCCAGUGCCUAGCAACCGUCAGUCAUCAGGGCGGCCAUCAAGUCGAAACUCUCCACCCUUCAAAGGUCUCACACACUCUUGGUGCCAACAUGUGUGUGUGUGUGUGUGUGUGUGUGUGUGUGUGUGUGUGUGUG